AGUCAGGUGGGCGGAGACAGAUGGGGACCCGGCUAUCCGGGGGCCAACUGAGGCUCCCUCGGCGCUGCAGAAUCGUUCCGCCUGGGCGGGAUUCUGACUUAGAGGCAUUCAGUCAUAAUCCCACAGAUGAUGGGUUUUUGGCAUGGUAAU